AUGUUAGAAGUUUAUAACUGUAUUUACUCACAGGACAGGCAUGGGCAGCAGUAAUACAAGUUUAUCUACAUCAUUCCCACAGAGAGUCCCAACCCUGUUCUGGAGAGACCACCUCUAGAGGUUGAGAUGGUAAUAUAAUCUCUGUUCAGUUUUUAGCUUGC
rnacentral:sRNA from 1 species